rnacentral:lncRNA from 1 species
GGCUGUCUUCAUUUAAAUUUUGCAUAGAUAUUUUGAAGAAAAAAAAUGAUGAAAUGAAAUGUCCCAGGGGAAAUUUAGUUUGAAAACUUGAAAUAUUUCAUUGACACAACUCCCUUUCAAGACACAAUAUGGUACAAUUAGGCAAAAUGUAAAUUUACAGGUUACAUUUUUUCUUUCAAUACAAACCAUCUCAGUGAUAAGUAGGUUAUACAGUGCACCCAAAUGACUAGACUAGUAUAAGACGGAGAAGAAGGAUAGGUCAAUAUAAGAAACCUACAAGGCUACUUCAGUUCAAUUUAAAUAUUUAGAUUAUUCUAAUGAAAUAAUCAAAUGUCAGAGAGAAAAU